CUAACCAGCCCGAAGACGCGCACAACGACAAAACCGACUUUAUCGCCGCCGGCCACCGCAGUCAGCAGCAGCAGCUGCGCCGGCCGACCAAGUUUUCUCCCACUAGUGCGGUCUGGCCCUUUUCCACGGAAGACUCAUCCGGACAGUACCCCAAGCUCAUGUGAAACCAGAGGCCUUCUUCCUCUUCUGAAGUUCUGGCAGAUCCUAACCUGAACCAUGCUCAACACUCUGCCGCCCCCAGUUCUCCCACCCCUCCAGCGUCGACGAUCUCGCUCUCACUGAUCUCACCGAGACGUGUGCAUCGGGUGUUCCAUGGAUCGGCAGAGCGAUGAAGAAUGGUCUCGCAUUCGGAUGAUGGGCUCCAGGUGACGAAUUAAGUGAAGAAUUGGAGACAACAGUCUUCUCUGGACAGAGCAGGAAAGUGAGAUUGAUGCCAACCUUGUGCCAACAGGAAGCCGUGGUUGCGACCUGCAAGCUGUGGUCCUUUAUCUUGUACUGAUUACUACUGGAGCUCGCCUGUUUUGAUUGGAUCAAAGUGAAGUGCAUGACAAUGGAUGAUCUGAAGCAAUACAUUUCAAGUGCCAUGCCGGGCUGUCAAUAGAAUUAACUGUGAGCUCCCUCCAACGUAGACUAUAUCAGUUUGAAUGAUGGAUUUGCGGGUCGCUGAAAACCGACGGAAACUUCAUCGCAUCGGCAUGUGCUGAGGCUGUAUACAUUUUGUCCUGGAAGGAAGUUUUUGGCCUAGAUGCUGCCGGUAGAUCUGGUUUGUGGAGUUUGAUCUUCACCGCUUGUUUCGAGUCCGAUGCUUGAAAGGCCUGUAAUGUUGUUCCAGUACAAAAGACGAGGUUGUCAUGAUUCUGGAUGCUGUACUACUGUAAAUAUUUUCCUUCUGAACGAGAACAUGUUCUUCUUUC